GACGAUAGAAACUGAGGCCGUUAUAAGAGAACAUGUAGAGCUGAUCUCCAUGUGACUGACUGAGUGUGUUUGCAUAUGUGUCCUGCCUCUCUGCUGCAGCUGUUAAGAGGUCAGAGUUGAUCAGUGGCUGUCCAGGCCUUUCAGAGCCACUGACACACCAGCAGCACAACGAUGAUGUCACUGACUCUACUGCUGACCAUCCUGGGGCUCCUGGUUCAGGGAUCUUCAGGACAAGUCACCGUAACUCAGACUCCUGGAUCUCAGUCUGUUGUUCCAGGACAGACUGUCUCUAUUCAAUGUAAAGUCAGUCCAAGUACAGGUUACUGUUUCAACUGGUACCUUCAGAAACCAGGAGAAGAGCCUAAACUCCUUAUUAGAUGCGCAAGCACCCGUCAUACUGGAAUCCCUGAUCGUUUCAGUGGAUCAAACUCUGGGAAUACUGACUUCACUCUGACCAUCAGUGGAGUUCAGGCUGAAGAUGCUGGAGUUUAUUACUGUCAGAGUUAUCAUUACAUCAGCAGUCAGUGGGUGUUCACACAGUGAAAAAUCAUCAUACAAAAACCUCCCUCAGUCUGAACAGAAACUGAACUUUGUUAUGCAGCUGGAAUCUGCAGCAAACACUGAUAACGUUCACUGAACACACAUUUUACACUCUCACCAUUUAGUUGCAUCAAACCUUAUUAAAACUC